rnacentral:rRNA from 1 species
UACAGAGGGGGCAAGCGUUAUUCGGAAUUAUUGGGCGUAAAGGGCGCGUAGGCGGCCUGGCAAGUGGAAGGUGAAAUCCCUCGGCUUAACCGAGGAACUGCCCUCCAAACUGCUUGGCUUGAGUCCGGGAGAGGUGAGUGGAAUUCCCAGUGUAGCGGUGAAAUGCGUAGAUAUUGGGAGGAACACCGGUGGCGAAGGCGGGUCUCUGGGCCGAUAUUGACGCUGAGGAGCGAAAGCGUGGGGAGCGAACAGG